AAGGUAGCGAAAUUCCUUGUCGGGUAAGUUCCGACCUGCACGAAUGGCGUAACGACUUCCCCACUGUCUCGACCAGGAGCUCGGCGAAAUUGCAGUACGAGUAAAGAUGCUCGUUAAGCGCAGAAGGACGAAAAGACCCCGGGACCUUUACUAUACCUUGGUAUUGGCAUUCGGUGUGGAUUGUGUAGCAUAGGCGGGAGGCCGAGAGGCGCGGUCGCCAGAUCGCGCGGAGCCGUAAGGUGAAAUACCGCUCUGUUCGCAUUGGAUGUCUAACCUCGAACAGUCAUCCUGUUCAGGGACAGUGCCUGGCGGGUAGUUUAACUGGGGCGGUUGCCUCCCAAAGAGUAACGGAGGCGCCCAAAGGUCCGCUCAGCCCGGUUGGCAAUCGGGUGGCGAGUGCAAGUGCACAAGCGGGCUUGACUGCGAGGACGACGGUCCGAGCAGGGACGAAAGUCGGGACUAGUGAUCCGGUGCCGGUGUACGGACGCGGCAUCGCUCAACGGAUAAAAGGUACCCCGGGGAUAACAGGCUGAUCAUUCCCAAGAGUCCAUAUCGACGGGAUGGUUUGGCACCUCGAUGUCGGCUCGUCGCAUCCUGGGGCUGGAGAAGGUCCCAAGGGUUCGGCUGUUCGCCGAUUAAAGCGGCACGCGAGCUGGGUUCAGAACGUCGUGAGACAGUUUGGUCUCUAUCCUCUGCGCUCGUUGGAAUGCUGAGGAGGCCUGCCCAUAGUACGAGAGGACCUGGGUGGACGAACCUCUGGUAUGCCGGUUGUCACGCCAGUGGCACGGCCGGUUGGCUACGUUCGGAAGGGAUAACCGCUGAAAGCAUCUAAGCGGGAAGCCUGCUCCAAGAUAAGCAUUCCGUGGAACCUUCGAGUUCCUGUAGUCCCCAUGCAGAACACGUGGUCGAUAGGCCGGACGUGGAAGCCCCGCGAGGGGUGGAGCCGACCGGUACUAACGGACGAAAGGCAACACUAA
rnacentral:rRNA from 1 species